ensembl:processed_transcript Gm7457 predicted gene 7457
AUUGGACUGGGGCUCGGCUCCAUCAGGGCUUGUUUUAAUGUAGUCACACAGUGCUGUUUGGUCUUUGGACUCAUAGAUGCCUGUGGGUCCUCCCUCAAGGAGCAGUGCCUCUGUUCUUACCCCUCCCAUAAGUCAGUCGGGAAGAUUUUUCUGGAAUGCAGAACCCAUUAUUGAGCAGAUUUUAAAAUGUUUUCCUAGCUAAAGAAACUUGACUUGAUGAACCAGACUAUUUCCUUUUGCACAGGCUAGCCUCAAGCUCACAGUCCUCCUGUCUCAGCAUGCUUGGUGUUGAAGGAGAGAUCUUCAAGGCGCCACCACGCCCGGCCCGAGUUCAGGAUCCAAUCAUCUUUACACUCCCCAGAGAAGUCGUGACGCAACGCACUGUCUACAGUGAGAAACAAUCGAGUUGUACAAUCCCGAGACGAAAAGCUGACAUUGGCCUGGUCCUUAGAGAGAUGAGUUCAGACGUAGCUUGUCAUGGACUCAGAAGUGCCACUAAAGCAGAAGAAACUACAAAUGCUAGCCGCAGAGAGAACCCAACCAAGGGGCAGGUGCAGAUGUUUUCCUUGUUACUGUGAACAAGUGUCCAUGGAGACCAGAAGAGGAGACCAGCUGCCCUGGAUCUGAAGUAACAGGUGCGUGAAUCUGUAAAGUACGAUAGAAUGCAGGAGAAAAAACAACCAAACAAGCAAACAAUAACAACAACAAAAAUCAAUCAGUUAAGCCUUGGAAGAGAGUGAGGUCAGAGAAAGCUAUGGAAUGGAUAACGCUUCACCAGCUCUUGCUAGGGAAACAGAAGGACAUAAAGCUACAAGAUCAUAGGGAGAGUAGCAACAGCCAAGAGCAGAAUGGAGCCAGACAUGGGCAGAGGCAAAGCAGGCCUGUUGUAAAUGUGUGACCGUCACUGUGUUGUGAAUAUGUGACCGUCACUGUGACUACCCAGAUUCAAAGCACUGGGGCAAUUGUGGCUCUUCAUCUGUCAAGAGGAAGGAAGGAAUGGCCUCCCAGACUGUCUGCAUGCCCUUGGUCAUUUCCCCAGGGCACCAACCACGGAAAGGUGAUGACUGUGUCUCCAGGAGAAGUUACUCACCUAGAGCAGCGGUUCUCAACUUUCCUCGUGACACCACCCUUUAACACAGCUCCUCACGGGGUGGCAACCCCAAUGAUAAAACUAUUUUGCUGGAACUUCAUAAUGGUAAUUUUAUUACUGUUAUGAAUUAUAAUGUAGAUACCUGACAUGCAACCCCCAAAGGGGUUGAGACCACAGGCUGAGAACCAUUGCCCUAGGAAACUCAGAAACAUAGGCAACCAUUUUCUAGACUGGUGCCAACAUCUCUCUGAUGAAUUCCCAAGUUGGACAUGGGCUCUGCUCAGCAACUCAAUUGUUUCUACUCUUGCCCACCCUCAUCCUUCGCUUUUCCUAAUUUCAAAAUGCCUUCCCAACAAUGUAGAAGCAGCACACACACAACCUAACUGAAUUACCCUGUGCUUUGUCUAGAAUAACCUACAGACUUCAUUGAUACCCCACGGCCUGGAAUUCUGGUCAGUCCACUGUUGGGCAUUUAUAUCCCUCUGGCUCUGAGAUACACUCACUUAGAAGAUGCAAUGGUUAAUUACUGUUGCCAAUUCGAAUGGGUUUAUUAUUCCCCAUGGAAAAUACACUCCUGUGUGUACCCAUGAAGAUAUUUCUAGAAAGGGCCCUGUAAGGAGGGAAGACUUGCCCUAAACAUGAGCCUCACUCCUCCUUGGGCUGGACUGUGACUGGAGAAAGGAGGGAAAGCCAGCUGAAUCCCAGCAUGCACCUGUUUCCUAACUGCACACAUGGUGCAACCAGUCACCUGCUGCCAUGCCUGUCCCUCUGCCAUGCCUGUCCCUCUGGAAUGGACAAACGCUUCCCUAAGCCUUCCCCAAACUGCUAGGCAUUUCUCACAGUGAUGAGAAAAGACAUGUACAAUGGAGCAUCCAUGUGAGCGGUCUCUGCCUGUCCUUCAGUGCCUCUUCUGCAUCCUUAACUACACCCUCCUCCCCUUUGCCCCUUAUGACCAGCUUUGUAUCUCUUCCCAAAUGCUCAUACUCGAAGGUGGAUUUCCCCCUCUCUAGGGAAUCACCCCCUCUGGCUUCUAGACAUGGGAACUAGCCUCCCUUCCCCAGCUUAAAUUAACCAGUUUCUGGCAGUUCAAAAAUGUGUUUAUUCCAAGUAUGCAAUGUGGCCUUGGCGCAGGCAAACACAGCAUGAAAUGAUUGUUACGAUAGGCUAGAAUUUUAUUUCAAAAAUUCUUCUUGAUACACCCACCCUGUGAGCUACACGCUGUCUCUCGUCUGCCAUCAGUGUCCUGGGACAGUUUUUCUCCUUCCUUAUUGCCUCCAGCAGAAACACAAAACAGGUAAAUAAAAUGUAAUUUUGAAACUGCACUC